rnacentral:rRNA from 1 species
GAUGAACGCUGGCGGCGUGCUUAAUACAUGCAAGUCGAACGAGGACAGUAGCAAUAUUGUCUGAGUGGCGAACGGGUGAGUAACGCGUUGGUGACCUGCCCCGAAGAGAGGGAUAACAGUCCGAAAGGAUUGCUAAUACCCCAUGUGGUUAUUGGGAUUAGAUGCCUUAUAACUAAACGGAUUUAUUCGCUUCGGGAGGGACCUGCGUCCCAUCAGCUAGUUGGUAGGGUAACGGCCUACCAAGGCUAUGACGGGUAGGGGACCUGAGAGGGUGGCCCCCCACAAUGAAACUGAAACACGGUCCAUACACCUACGGGUGGCAGCAGUAGGGAAUAUCGGUUAAUCUGCGAAAGCGGGAACCAGCAACGCCGCGUGCAAGAUGAAGGCCUUCGGGUUGUAAAGUGCUUUUUGAAAGGAUGAGGAAGGACAGUACUUUCAGAAUAAGCUUCGGCUAACUACGUGCCAGCCGCCGCAGUAACAC